rnacentral:rRNA from 1 species
AUACGUAGGGGGCGAGCGUUGUCCGGAUUUACUGGGCGUAAAGGGUGAGUAGGCGGUUGCAUAUGUCAGAUGUAAAAGGCACAGGCUUAACUUGUGUUAGCAUUUGAAACUGUGCGACUUGAGUGCAGGAGAGGUAAGUGGAAUUCCUAGUGUAGCGGUGAAAUGCGUAGAUAUUAGGAGGAACACCAGUGGCGAAGGCGACUUUCUGGACUGUAACUGACGCUGAGGCGCGAAAGCGUGGGGAGC